rnacentral:rRNA from 1 species
CCUACGGGGGGCUGCAGUGAGGAAUAUUGGUCAAUGGGCGCAAGCCUGAACCAGCCAAGUCGCGUGAGGGAUGACGGUCCUAUGGAUUGUAAACCUCUUUUGUCGGGGAGCAAGGCCCGCCACGUGUGGCGGGAAGGAGAGUACCCGAAGAAAAAGCAUCGGCUAACUCCGUGCCAGCAGCGGCGGUAAUACGGAGGAUGCGAGCGUUAUCCGGAUUUAGUGGGUUUAACGGGUGCGUAGGCGGAAGGUUAAGUCAGCGGUCAAAUGUCGGUGCUCAACCGUGGAAUUGCAGGUGAAACUGGAGGCCUUGAGUGCACACAGGGAUGCCGGAAUUCAUGGUGUAGCGGUGAAAUGCUUAGAUAUCAUGAAGAACUCCGAUCGCGAAGGCAAGUGUCCGGGGUGCAACUGACGCUGAAGCUCGAAAGUGCGGGUAUCAAACAGGAUUAGAUACCCGAGUAGUC